CUUGGGUCAUGAUUUCUUAUUUACUCAGUUGUCGUUCCGUCCAAGGGGUUAGGUAUGGAAGGGCAUGACACAACGGUCUGCGUGGUUGGGGCUGCAGGGCUCUGGGGACAAAGGCAGCACUAGAAUAGGCUUUCCGGCUGCUGCCGAUGCGCCGGGCAGGUUAUUGUUUUCCGGGCCGUAUUUCUGACGGUCAGUGUUAUGUGGCUCUUAAUUUCCGCACGGGUGGCUCUUAAUUUCACUUAUGUGUGGGGCCGACUGUGUCGCAUGUCGGGCUUGGCUGCUG